GAAAGUAAGAAAGGGCGUAUGGCGGAUGCCUAGGCUCACGGAGGCGAUGAAGGACGUGAUAAGCUGCGAUAAGCUUCGGGUAGGUGCAAAUAACCUUUGAUCCGAAGAUUUCCGAAUGGGACAACCUAGCCGUCUGAAGGACGGUUACUCUUACCAAUGUAAGAGAGCUAACGCAGGGAACUGAAACAUCUUAGUACCUGUAGGAAGAGAAAAUAAAUGAAUGAUUCCCCCAGUAGUGGCGAGCGAACGGGGAACAGCCCAAACCGUUGACGUCGCAAGGCGCCAGCGGGGUUGUAGGACCGCGAUAUUGUAUGCAAAUCGUGAACAGAACACUUUGGAAAAUGUGACCAUAGACGGUGAUAGUCCAGUAUGUGAAGCGAAAUGCAGCAUAGCGGUAUCCUGAGUAACGCGGGACACGAGGAAUCCUGCGCGAAUCUGCCGGGACCAUCCGGUAAGGCUAAAUACUCCCGUGAGACCGAUAGCGAACGAGUACUGUGAAGGAAAGGUGAAAAGAACCCCGAGCAGGGGAGUGAAAUAGUUCCUGAAACCAUACGCCUACAAGCGGUCGGAGCAUCUUACGAUGUGACGGCGUGCCUUUUGCAUAAUGAUCCUACGAGUUACCGUCACUGGCGAGGUUGAGUGUCAUGAGACACGUAGCCGCAGUGAAAGCGAGCCUGAACAGGGCGCAUAGUCAGUGGGGGUAGACGCGAAACCAAGUGAUCUACACUUGGCCAGGAUGAAGUCCCGGUAACACGGGAUGGAGGUCCGCACCAAUAAGCGUUGAAAAGCUUCUGGAUGAGCCGAGUGUAGGAGUGAAAGGCCAAUCAAACUUGGAGAUAGCUCGUACUCCCCGAAAGGCAUUUAGGUGCCGCGUCGGAUGGUCACCGUGAGAGGUAGAGCGACCGAUAGGACAAGAGGGCUUCACCGCCUAUCGAGUCCUGACGAACUCCGAAUGCUCACGGUCUGCAGUCCGGCAGUAAGGGGGCGGGUGCUAAGGUCCGUCCCCGAGAGGAGAAGAAUCCAGACCGCCGUCUAAGGUCCCGGAGUUCUGCCUGAGUUAGUCUAACGAAGUCUGGUCCCUAUGACAGCUAGGAUGUUGGCUUGGAAGCAGCCAUUCAUUCAAAGAGUGCGUAACAGCUCACUAGUCGAGGGUCCGGGCAUGGAUAAUAAUCGGGUAUAAGGCAGACACCGAAGGCGCGGGAUAGCAUUUAAGAAAGUAUCGGUAGGGGAGCAUACUCACAGCGUGGAAUGGUGUACGUAAGUUAUCCUGGAGCGGUGAGUAAAGCAAAUGUAGGAAUAAGUAACGAUAAGGAGGGUUAGAUUCCCUCCCGCUGUAAGACCAAGGUUUCCCGGGCAAUGCCAAUCAGCCCGGGGUCAGUCGGGUCCUAAGUCUAAGCCGAACGGCGAUGGCGAUGGCAGAGACGGUUAAUAUUCCGUCACUGCCGCAUGGGGCGACGUGGAGACGGAGCAGUGAAACCACCGCGGGGCGACGGAAGUCCCCGUUGAAGAGUGUAGGUGUUGAGGAUGGCAGGCAAAUCCACCGUCCGAGCUGAACUUGAUAGUAUGGAGUCUUCUUCGGAAGAAUCCAAUAGUGUGGGUAAUCAUACUCCCGAGAAAAUCCGCUAAGCUUAACCCAUGCGGCACCCGUACCGCAAACGGACACACGUGGUCGGGUAGAACAUACUAAGGCGUUGAGAGAUUCAUGGUUAAGGAACUAGGCAAAUUGACCCUGUAACUUCGGGAUAAAGGGUCCUCGUGAUGAGCGAGGCGCAGAGAAUAGGUCCAGGCAACUGUUUAACAAAAACACAGGGCUGUGCAAACUCGAAAGAUGACGUAUACAGCCUGACACCUGCCCGGUGCCGGAAGGUUAAGAGGAGAUGUCACUCGCAAGAGGAAGCAUUGAAUUGAAGCCCCGGUAAACGGCGGCCGUAACUAUAACGGUCCUAAGGUAGCGAAAUUCCUUGUCGGGU
rnacentral:rRNA from 1 species